UCCCGACAGCUGCUUGACGACCAAUUGAGAGUCACUGUAAAUGAUAAGCUUUUGGACCUCUAGACUCUUUGCCAAUCGAACACCUGUUAGCACUGCUUCAUACGCGGCUUCGUUAUUCGUCGCUUUAAAUCCGAAUCUGAUGGCCUGUUGAACUUUGAAUCCGUCCGGACUUGUCAAGAUAAUUCCUGCCCCACUAACAGUUAGAGUAGAGGAACCGUCUGCAUAUAGAGUCCAAACAUUCUGAUCUUGUUGAAGAACUGCAACUGCUCGAU
rnacentral:lncRNA from 1 species